GACGAACGCUGGCGGCGUGCUUAACACAUGCAAGUCGAGCGGUAAGGCCCUUUCGGGGGUACGACGAGCGGCGAACGGGUGAGUAACACGUGGGUGACCUGCCCUUACGCUCUGGGAGUAAGCCUGGGAAACUGGGUCGUAAUACCGGAUAUGACUCCAUGACGCAUGUUGUGGGGUGGAAAGCCUUGUGCGGCUAGGGAUGGGCCCGCGGCCUAUCAGCUUGUUGGUGGGGUGAUGGCCCACCAAGGCGCGACGGGUAGCCGGCCUGAGAGGGCGACCGGCCGACACUGGGAC
rnacentral:rRNA from 1 species